GACAGUAAAUGUCACAUACGGGAAUGUUGUGCGACCAAUAAGCUUCCAGCUGGUUUAUUUUGGCAGGCUGACUGCGCAUGGCUACAGUCAAUCUGAUAACGUUACGGAGAGAAUUAGCGAACAAAUUGUGGGCUCGUCAGAUUAGUAUGCCACCAAAGCAACAGCCUGGGGAUUCAGAAACACAAUUUCCACACAGGAAGCACAUGCCAUAACUUUACGACAGCGAGCCACACAGUAAACAAACCGGACAGGAGCCAAUGGGAGCCCAUGAUCAUCGCUGUGACAUUCGGAAAGGGCUGAAAACUGAGCCCGGUGGUCCCGCCCACCAUUGACUUUGUUCAGUGGGCUGCUGGAGGAGGAGGUCACAGACAUGGAAGCAGCUGAAACUUUGGAUGGGAAAUGGUUUGUGUCCUCAUCACCUGAACAUGUCAGAGUAUCCUUCUGAAGGGUUAUUAGUUUAGUUUGCCACUAAAACUGUGCUUGAAUGUACACUAGGUGCUGGAAAUGGAAGUGUUUAAUUGACUGUUUCACUGCAGGCUACACAUCACUGUUGAACCAGACAGCAAAUGUGUUUAGAUUUAUAUAUUUAACUUUUUAUUCAUUAUUAGACUUCACAUAGGAACAGGUUGCAUAUGAUUGAUGCUUUUUUCUAUUUCAAAAUGUUGAAGUUUGGUAAAUGUUAAAAUGUUAACUCUAACCCCAUUUUUAGCUUAUUAGUUUACAUUACAUUAACAUAUAUAUAUAUAUAUAUAUAUAUAUAUAUAUAUAUAUACACACACACAUUAAUGCAGUAGUUACAAUUAAUGCAUAUAACUAUGGUCAUGCAAAUAAAACAAAUUUAAUUAGAAUUUGAUAACUUUUUUUCAUCUUUGUAAUCAAACGACUGGGAUAGACAGCAUUACAAAUCACUUAGUUACAUUUCUAAACAUCUCUUCAUCAUAAAAUAGGCUAUACUGCACUUUCAGCUAGUAAGCCUAUUCUACAGUCGAAUAGCUUAUUGGAAUUUCUGCUGCAGUAUGGCAAACAAUAUCAGGGAGAGAGAAAGACCCAGAGCCUGUAUGAAGAAUUUGGUGACAGCAAUCCAAACAAAUGGGGCAAUAAAUGUGCUCUCCUUUGAACCAGGUCGAAACAAACAUUGUCCCUUAAGAGGUACCUUGCCAAAAACAUAAACACAACCACUAACUGCCAUACAUUUUCAUUUGAAGGACUUCUUGUAACUUUGUAGCGCCUCCCUAUCUGUCACACUAGAGCUACAUGGCAUUCUGCACUUUGAAACUAAUUUGUUUUGUUUGUCAGUUCUGUGUAACAGAAAUAAAGUAAGUUAAUCUAUAA